UUUUUGUAGGGGGUUAGCCCAUAGAUUUUGAGAAAAUUUCAAAAAAUAUGACAAUAUUGUUUUUAUUCCUAGUUGCAUGCUGCACUAACAUAUGAUGAUGUUCAAAAAGGUUUGGAGCCUUUGUCGUCUCUGUUUAUCAAGAAAAUAAUAAUUUUAUAGUAGUUAUUCCAUCGAUUUAGGGAGUAUUAUGAAGUUAUAUUAAAUAAAUUGAUAAAAACAAUUGAACGAUGCUCAUUUACCAUGAAAAAGAGUUUAGCAUAUAUUAAUACAAAUGUAGAAUAUGAUAGAAAUUUUAAAACAACACUAAAGAUUAUAGGCUUCAGCAUAUAAAGUAUUUACCAAAAACUCAAUAUUUUUGUAGGGGUUAGCCCAUAGAUUUUGAGAAAAUUUCAAAAAAUAUGACAAUAUUGUUUUAAUUCCUAGUUGCAUCCUGCACUAACAUAUGAUGAUGUUCAAAGAGGUUUGGAGCCUUUGUGCUCUCCGUAUAUCAAGAAAAUGAUAAUUUUAUAGUGGUUAUUCCAUCGUUUUAGGGAGUAUUAUGAAGUUUUACUAAAUUAUUUGAUAAAAAAAAUUGAACGAUGCUCAUUUACCCUGAAAAAGAGUUUAGCAUACAUUAAUACAAAUGUAGAAUAUGGUAGAAAUUUUAAAACAACACUAAAGAUAAUAGGCUUCAGUAUAUAAAGUAUUUACCAAAAACUCAAUAUUUUUGUAGGGGGUUUGCCCAUAGAUUUUGAGAAAAUUUCAAAAAAUAUGACAAUAUUGUUUUUAUUCCUAGUUGCAUCCUGCACUAACAUAUGAUGAUGUUCAAAAAGGUUUGGAGCCUUUGUCGUCUCUGUUUAUAAAGAAAAUAAUAAUUUUAUAGUGGUUAUUCCGUCGAUUUAGGGAGUAUUAUGAAGUUUUAUUAAAUUAUUUGAUAAAAACAAUUGAACGAUGCUCAUUUACCAUGAAAAAGAGUUUAGCAUACAUUAAUACAAAUGUAGAAUAUUGUAGAAAUUUUAAAACAACACUAAAGAUUAUAGGCUUCAGUAUAUAAAGUAUUUACCAAAAACUCAAAUUUUUUGUAGGGGUUAGCCCAUAGAUUUUGAGAAAAUUUCAAAAAAUAUGAAAAUAUUGUUUUAAUGCCUAGUUGCAUCCUGCACUAACAUAUGAUGAUGUUCAAAGAGGUUUGGAGCCUUUGUGCUCUCCGUAUAUCAAGAAAAUAAUAAUUUUAUAGUGGUUAUUCCAUCGUUUUAGGGAGUAUU
rnacentral:lncRNA from 1 species